rnacentral:rRNA from 1 species
CCCUUAGAUGUUCUGGGCCGCACGCGUGCUACACUGAUGCAUUCAACGAGUCUAAAACCUGGUCUGAUAGGGCUGGGUAAUCUUUUGAAAGUGCAUCGUGAUUGGGAUAGAUGAUUGCAAUUCUUCAUCUUCAACGAGGAAUACCUAGUAAACGCAAGUCAUCAGCUUGCAUUGAUUACGUCCCUGCCCUUUGUACACACCGCCCGUCGCUCCUACCGAUUGAAUGAUCCGAUGAAUACCAUGGAUUGAGAGUACGAAUAGGUUCGCUUAUUUCUGCUGCUCGAGAAGUGGAGUAAAUCUUAUCAUUUAGAGGAAGGAGAAGUCGUAACA